UACGUAGGGUGCAAGCGUUGUCCGGAAUUAUUGGGCGUAAAGAGCUCGUAGGCGGUUUGUUGCGUCUGCUGUGAAAACUCGGGGCUUAACUCCGGGCCUGCAGUGGGUACGGGCAGACUAGAGUGCGGUAGGGGAGACUGGAAUUCCUGGUGUAGCGGUGAAAUGCGCAGAUAUCAGGAAGAACACCAAUGGCGAAAGCAGCUCUCUGGGACGGUACUGACGCUGAGACGCGAAAGCGUGGGGAGCGAACAGG
rnacentral:rRNA from 1 species